rnacentral:rRNA from 1 species
GACGAACGCUGGCGGCGUGCUUAACACAUGCAAGUCGAACGCUGAAGCUCAGCUUUUGUUGGGUGGAUGAGUGGCGAACGGGUGAGUAACACGUGAGUAUCCUGCCCCCUUCUUUGGGAUAACGCCCGGAAACGGGUGCUAAUACUGGAUAUUCACUGGUCUUCGCAUGGGGGUUGGUGGAAAGGGUUUUUCUGGUGGGGGAUGGGCUCGCGGCCUAUCAGCUUGUUGGUGGGGUGAUGGCCUACCAAGGCUUUGACGGGUAGCCGGCCUGAGAGGGUGACCGGUCACAUUGGGACUGAGAUACGGCCCAGACUCCUACGGGAGGCAGCAGUGGGGAAUAUUGCACAAUGGGCGCAAGCCUGAUGCAGCGACGCCGCGUGAGGGAUGGAGGCCUUCGGGUUGUGAACCUCUUUCGCUCAUGGUCAAGCCGCAACAAUGGUUGUGGUGAGGGUAGUGGGUAAAGAAGCGCCGGCUAACUACGUG